AAAAUCCCGUUCCUAUAACAUUGAGCUGUGAUAGCAAGGGGAGUAUUCCCUGGAGUCCCUGAUUUCACGCUGCCAAGAAAAGCCUCUAGCGAGGCGGGAGGUGCCCGUACCGCAAACCGACACAGGUAGGCGAGGAGAGAAUCCUAAGGUGAUCGAGAGAACUCUCGUUAAGGAACUCGGCAAAAUGACCCCGUAACUUCGGGAGAAGGGGUGCUCUGGUAGGGUGUUAAAGCCCGAGAGAGCCGCAGUGAAUAGGCCCAGGCGACUGUUUAGCAAAAACACAGGUCUCUGCAAAACCGCAAGGUGAAGUAUAGGGGCUGACGCCUGCCCGGUGCUGGAAGGUUAAGAGGAGAGGUCAGCGCAAGCGAAGCUUCGAAUUGAAGCCCCAGUAAACGGCGGCCGUAACGAUAACGGUCCUAAGGUAGCGAAAUUCCUUGUCGGGUAAGUUCCGACCCGCACGAAAGGCGUAACGAUCUGGGCACUGUCUCAACGAGAGACUCGGUGAAAUUAUAAUACCUGUGAAGAUGCAGGUUACCCGCGACAGGACGGAAAGACCCCGUGGAGCUUUACUGUAACCUGAUAUUGAAUUCCGAUGCAGCCUGUACAGGAUAGGUAGGAGCCUUAGAUUCCGGAGCGCCAGCUUCGGAGGAGGCGUUGGUGGGAUACUACCCUGGCUGUAUUGGACUUCUAACCCAUGCCCCUUAUCGGGGCAGGAGACAGUGUCAGGCGGACAGUUUGACUGGGGCGGUCGCCUCCUAAAGUGUAACGGAGGCGCCCAAAGGUUCCCUCAGAAUGGUUGGACAUCAUUCGCAGAGUGCAAAGGCAUAAGGGAGCUUGACUGCGAGACCUACAAGUCGAGCAGGGUCGAAAGACGGGCUUAGUGAUCCGGUGGUUCCGCAUGGAAGGGCCAUCGCUCAACGGAUAAAAGCUACCCCGGGGAUAACAGGCUUAUCUCCCCCAAGAGUCCACAUCGACGGGGAGGUUUGGCACCUCGAUGUCGGCUCAUCGCAUCCUGGGGCUGUAGUCGGUCCCAAGGGUUGGGCUGUUCGCCCAUUAAAGCGGUACGCGAGCUGGGUUCAGAACGUCGUGAGACAGUUCGGUCCCUAUCCGUCGCGGGCGCAGGAAAUUUGAGAGGAGCUGUCCUUAGUACGAGAGGACCGGGAUGGACACACCGCUGGUGUACCAGUUGUCUUGCCAAAGGCAUCGCUGGGUAGCUAUGUGUGGACGGGAUAAAUGCUGAAAGCAUCUAAGCAUGAAGCCCCCCUCGAGAUGAGAUUUCCCAUUACGCAAGUAAGUAAGAUCCCUCAAAGAAGAUGAGGUUGAUAGGUCUGGGGUGGAAGCGCGGCGACGUGUGGAGCUGACAGAUACUAAUCGAUCGAGGACUUAACCGA
rnacentral:rRNA from 1 species